rnacentral:piRNA from 1 species
UCACGUCCAGUUUGAUCUGGUGGAUGUGU